rnacentral:rRNA from 1 species
UACGUAGGGGGCUAGCGUUGUCCGGAAUCAUUGGGCGUAAAGCGCGUGUAGGCGGCUCGGUAAGUCCGCUGUGAAAAGUCGGGGGGCCUCCAACCCUCGGAUGCCGGUGGAUACUGUCGGGCUAGAGUACGGAAGAGGCGGAGUGGAAUUCCUGGUGUAGCGGUGAAAUGCGCAGAUAUCAGGAGGAACACCAAUUGCGAAGGCAGCUCGCUGGGACGUUACUGACGCUGAGACGCGAAAGCGUGGGGAGCAAACAGGG